CUUGGUCAUUUAGAGGAAGUAAAAGUCGUAACAAGGUCUCCGUUGGUGAACCAGCGGAGGGAUCAUUACCGAGUUUACAACUCCCAAACCCCUGUGAACAUACCUAUACGUUGCCUCGGCGGAUCAGCCUGCGCCCCGUAAAACGGGACGGCCCGCCCGAGGACCCCUAAACUCUGUUUUUAGUGGAACUUCUGAGUAAAACAAACAAAUAAAUCAAAACUUUCAACAACGGAUCUCUUGGUUCUGGCAUCGAUGAAGAACGCAGCAAAAUGCGAUAAGUAAUGUGAAUUGCAGAAUUCAGUGAAUCAUCGAAUCUUUGAACGCACAUUGCGCCCGCCAGUAUUCUGGCGGGCAUGCCUGUUCGAGCGUCAUUUCAACCCUCAAGCUCAGCUUGGUGUUGGGACUCGCGGUAACCCGCGUUCCCCAAAUCGAUUGGCGGUCACGUCGAGCUUCCAUAGCGUAGUAAUCAUACACCUCGUUACUGGUAAUCGUCGCGGCCACGCCGUAAAACCCCAACUUCUGAAUGUUGACCUCGGAUCAGGUAGGAAUACCCGCUGAACUUAAGCAUAUCAAUAAGCGGAGGA
rnacentral:rRNA from 1 species